UAAAAAAAAAAACCCAGGUUUCCGUGUCCAACGUUUCACCGUCCGUUUAAUUUUAAAAUAUUAUGAAAAAAAAUAAAAAGACAAAUCACGCAUAAAGUAUUAAUCAUGUUUUAUUAUCUAACAACAAUAAAAAUACUAAUUAUAAAAAAAAUUUCAUAUAAGACGGACAAUCAAACAUUGGACACGGAAACCUAGAGUUUGUCUUUUU
rnacentral:pre_miRNA from 1 species